CAAAGAAAUAAAGAAACUAGAAUGCCCACCCUAGUCACACCCUAGCCUAACCAAAAUAGAGAAUAAAAGCCUCUCUAUGGCCAGGGGGUGACACCUGCUUAUGUUCAUAGAUAAGAUGAGAGCACCCCUCCAGCUAGGAUGGAGUCAGUCACUCCUCAGCAGACCAGGCUUGGUCCUGUUUAUGGGUGUCUCAGAAAGAGGGCCAAUUACCUUCAAAUUAUUUUUUGGGGGAGGGGCAGAAAACAGUUUUCAACCAGCAAUUUAAUAAGGCCUGACAAAUUUUGUUUUGACCCUACAUUAUGAAUGUGUUUAAUGCCAUGUCUGAUUUGUGAGUUGUCUGUUUAAUUUGGUUUUCACAGGUUAAACAGACUGUACCUUAAUAGGCAAACACAUGAACACGUACAUUUGUCAUCAAAAGAAUUCACUGAAGAAACUUACUGUGACAUGAAAUGUUUGACUGUUUUUACAUAAUUAAAUAGAGGAAGAAACUUCUUUGAAGGGUUUGAAUGACCUCUGACCUGAAUUUCUAGUGUGGUUUGAUCACCCUCAGACAUUGGAUGAUGAUUUAAAAGUCAUGUGUAAUAAUGAUUUGAAGGUUAUAAUCAAUUAAGGAGAAGUUUAUAAUUAUAUGUGAGUGUCACGAAUCCCGUUUCCUGAGUCUGUUUUUUGCCUGUGUUCUGUCCUGGAGUGUUUUUCCGGCGUCCUGGAACGCACCCUGUCUGGUUGCCGGGCAAUAUAGCCAGUUGAGAGUUCUGAUUACCCGCACCUGUAUCCCAUCAGCUAUCUGCACACCUGGUCCUGAUCAUCAUCUCUCCUCUUCAUAAGCCCAGACCUGACAUCCAUUCCCUGCCGGAUCGUUAGCCAUGAACAUUACUCACCCGGAUCAUUUACCCCAUUCCCGCCUGGUCGUCGGAGGAUUCCGCUACCCCAUUGGAUCCACCUAUUUACUCCCAUCAACUCACCACCGCUGCCCGCUACGCCACCUGGAUAUAUCUACCCAUUCACAUGUAAAUAAAUACUCACCUUCUUCCUACUCUCCUUGUCCUGGUCUGCUUCUGGGUUCGAUUUUGAAAGAACGUGACAGUGAGAGUCGGACCAUGAGAAGGAUAGACCUGUCUAGUCCAUUUUUCUAUUCUUUGAAUUAAUUUGAGUAAUAAAAAAUUGAAUUAUCAA